GUUUUUUUCUGCUCCUCUGGGGCCUGUCGAUCCCUGGCUGCACAGUUCACAGCUGAGAUCAUAUGUUCUCAUCUGGAAUCAACAAGAUGAGCAAGGGAGCUGAUCACGGCAUGGGAUCGUGAAGACAGAUUCUACUCCUCCUCUCCAGUGAAAUUGCAGAGCCUCGCAGGAGACCAGCUGGGGCUGUGAGGAGCCAGUUGCUUCAAGAGGAGCUCAGAUCAGCAAUCCUGAGACAAAUGAUACAGUAAAGAUCAGCCAGCUACCGCUCCAGCACCAUGUCUUCCUUCCCUUCUGCCAUGCUUCCUGCCAUGAUGGUGAUGGACACAACUAUCCUCAACAGUGAC